rnacentral:lncRNA from 1 species
UUUGAAGGAGUAAUAGUGUAAAAAAUAGACAAUUAAGAAUCAUAUAUUGCUAUAAAUUGGUGUAUAUUUUUAAUGAAGGUGAUUUGGAUUCAAAUUUACAGUUACCUUAUGUUAUUUUUCAUAAUAGAAUAUGUGGGUAAUAUAGAUGUAAAUUUAAGGGGUUACUUUACUGAAAUUAUUUUUUAAGUAUUAGUGGUGAGUAAUUUAGUUGCAAAUUUAGGGGUUAUUUUAAAUUAUUUUUUAUAAUGGCAGAGGUGGAUAAUUUAGAUAUAUAUUUAGGGAUUACUUUAGGAUAUUUUCGUAAUGGCAUAGGUGGGUAGUUUUUUAGAAAACAUAAUAGAUCCAAUGGUCAUGAUGAUUUGAGUCUACCGAUUGAUGGUCAGAUGUUUUUAUUUUUUUUUGAGAAUUUCUACGAUUUCUCUCUUUUUCUAGAGUGUCCACCUAGGAUCCUAGGUGGCUACACCUGGAGACUUCAAAAGGA